CAGACCUGCCGCCCGCUUCCGGAGCACAAUGUGGAGCCAGGACAGGCAGGGAGGCUGCCUUAGAUGUGCAGCACCAACGACCGGGUGCUGACCAAGAUUGUUUCUGUAUUAGGGUCAAACUUAUGGAUUUGCAAGAGUGCUGUCCAAUCCACUAAAGAGCUGGCCGAGAUCCAUCCUCCAAGUCUUGCCAAGAUCAGUGGAGCUUGGCCAUCGGUGAAAUGUUCAGACACUUGGGGCAGAGGGAUAUGACAAAAUGAAUAAAGAAUGGAAGCAGAUGGACUUUUUAUCUUGCACAGAAUGAAGACAUACUUAAUUCUUUUUUUCCAUGAUAUAAUCCAAUAUUGAUCUAUAGCCAGAGAUUCUGAUGAUAAAUCCAUUCACUGAAUUAUUCAAGGUGUAAAAAUGGUCGAGAUUAAGAUCCACCAUCAUAUCCUCAAACUGUCUGCCUAGGAAGUGUAAAACUGUUCUUGUUCCUGGGUGUAUCAGUUUCCUUUCUCUCCCCCUGAUAUCAUAAUUGUUUUUAAUGUUUUCCCUCAUCAUUCUAUGAAAAAACAUCAUCCACAAAGCCAGACACAGUCAGCAUAUGAAUGCCAGAAAUAUACAGGCUGGAUGUGACCUCAAUGAUCAGUUAAACAAGGUCAGAUGGAUGUUGGUAAAUCAGUCAUAUGUGCAAGAGGCUCCUGUGUCUUGCUAGCAGCUGCUAACAGUAACUGCAAUAAUGCUGUCUUAUGCCUGCGUGGUGCUCCCAGAUAGCCAUUUAGCAUUAUAACAACAACUUUGAUCUGAUUAAUGCGGCGGUGCAAUGAUUUCAAUAGAAAGCAGUAGUAGCAUGCCUUGGAGUAUAUUAACCUAACAUUAAGCAGCUACAGGUGGCCUUUUUGUGUUGGAGGGAAAAAAAUGUAGCUUUGUAUUGCUGAAUCCUCUUGGAAUCACAUAUCGGGGGCAGCAUCACCCCUAAGCAUAAAAAUCACAUGCUUCCUACAUUAUUGUGUUUUUGUAUUUGGGGAUCUUCAUCAUUUGGGAACAGAACAUUAAUCAGCCAAGCUUUUUUCCUGUGAAGAUAAUCCAUAUGACACUACAUAGUAAGGUGUUAAAACAGUGAGGCCAGGCCUCCGAGCCAAAUUUUGCUCUUAUUUACAUUGGUGUAAAGCCAGAGUAGCUCCACUGAAGUCAAUGGAUUUUUUCUGGAUUUGCAGUACUGCAAUUGAGGGGGGGAAAUGGCCCGAAGUGCAGAUGGCACAUUAUGCACCACUGUGGCAAAAUUAAAUGUGGAAGGAUUAGAUUUUUAUCAGUAAAUGUUGGUAUACAUCGAUUUCACUGUGCAUAAUCAAACUGAUGAAAAAAUAAUUCCAUCGAUGAUAACCAGAAAUUACAGAUAGGCAUAGUAAGAAAAUUGCUGCUUGAGAACUUAGAGUAUUAUUUCAGGAUGUUUUCUGAGGGGAUGUUGACAGAUUUUUUGUGUUAAUGGUUAUAAUACUUAAAUUUUUUGAAUCUCGAUAUCUACUUUCAUUAAAUAAUUGUCUAAACCUCCAUUCCUUGUCAUCUGACUCCCCUCACCCCCAAUUUCCUGAAACUGUGAAAAUGUGAAUCAAUAAAAUAGAAAAAAAAUGCUUUAAAUAAAUAUCAAUAUUAUCUUCUGAAAUUAUAAAAAAAAUUAAAAUUGAAUUCUGCCAAGCCUAGACACGAUGCAUUUUCUCCUUUGAUUACAGCUGUGCAGGAACCA